GGCGGUGGCGCGUUGGCGGAGCGGUUACGCAGAGGUCUGCAAAACCUUUAUCCCCAGUUCGAAUCUGGGUGUCGCCUCCA
rnacentral:tRNA from 1 species